UGGCUCAGGACGAACGCUGGCGGCGUGCUUAACACAUGCAAGUCGAGCGGUAAGGCCCUUCGGGGUACACGAGCGGCGAACGGGUGAGUAACACGUGAGCAACCUACCCUCAACUUCGGGAUAAGCCUCGGAAACGGGGUCUAAUACCGGAUAUCACUUCGAGCUUCAUGGUUUGGGGUUGAAAGUUUUGGCGGUUGGGGAUGGGCUCGCGGCCUAUCAGCUUGUUGGUGGGGUAAUGGCCUACCAAGGCGUCGACGGGUAGCCGGCCUGAGAGGGCGACCGGCCACACUGGGACUGAGACACGGCCCAGACUCCUACGGGAGGCAGCAGUGGGGAAUAUUGCGCAAUGGGCGAAAGCCUGACGCAGCAACGCCGCGUGAGGGAUGACGGCCUUCGGGUUGUAAACCUCUUUCAGCAGGGACGAAGCGAGAGUGAC
rnacentral:rRNA from 1 species